UAUGCUGGAGCGGCUUGCUCCCCAUGUGGAAACGUCGCUGCGUCUGAGUAUUCAUUUGAUGGACGCCCAGGCCGUCAACGCCGGCAUGGGCACGGCGAUGGNCCCGGAUCGGAAUCGGCGUGUUUGCACUGGAUGCGAUGGGCCGCGUGGUGUCUUCCAAUGCGGCCUCCCAGGCGCUUCUCGGCGACGGACUGAAUAUCGUGAACGACCGCCUGGUGCUGGCAAAUCCGGCAGCGAGCGGGGAGGCUGUGACUGCGAUCCGGAAUGCCCUCGACGGGAACCGGAUUAUCCUGUCGCAGGAAUCCAAACCGAUCCUGGUA
rnacentral:misc_RNA from 1 species